UGUGUGUGUGUGUGAACAUUAACCACCACAGGUGACCUCUGGGCCUCCAAUGAGCAGCGAGGACUCUCAGAAACAAUGAUGAGGAUAGGAUGGCCUUGACUUUUAUGCUACCUGCCUAAGCGUCAAAUGUAUUUUCGGAACUGGAAGAACAUUGCCCCAGCCACCAUGGAUCUCCAGCUCAUCACCUGCCUCUGCAUCAGUGGAUGAAUGAGUGGAGCACUCUAACACAUCCUUGAGCAGUGUUUCUGAUCUCCACGCCCCUGUCAAGUCACGCUCCGCUCCCUGGUUCACUCAUGAGCUGUGGAAAAUACCACCAGCUGGGCGUGCCACGGAACGACCUCCAGACACUCUGGGCCCUCUGUCCAUGAACUGGCCUUCCGUGAGCAUCAAAGGGCUCCGACUGCCUUGAGGAGGCUCCUCGCGCUUCUAUUCCAGCGUCAUCAAUAAAAACCCUGGAAACUCUAAACAGCUUUUUUCUCCAAUAAAUCAUCUCCUGAAGCCACAGCCAUCCUGUUCAACUGAGGCUCCAGAGGAGCGAUGCAACAGCUUCACUGACUUCAGAACAAAGGUCAACAGCAUCCGCUCUACGAUGGCCAGCUCUCCAUCUCGGCUUCCCUCUGACACCAACACCGUAUCUGUCUCCUCUGGAUCUCGCUGAGGUUCAGGAGAGCCAUGUCGAGAAAAUCCUCAGAAAUAUGACAUCCUGUACCUGGACCCUGGACCCCAUUCCCACUGCUCUGCUCAAGUCUCAGUCCUUUCAUCACCAACGUUGUGAACCUUUCCCUUCUCUGGCUGUGUCCCACCUGCUCUCAAGGUUGCUGUCAUCUGUCCCAUUCUGAAGAAGCCCACCCUGGACCGCCUGUCCUGGGGAGAGAAAGGCUGGAGGAGCACAACUUCCUCCAGCUCAACAGCAGCAACACUGAAGCCCUCCUUGUUGGCACUCCACACCAGGUUCAGACAUCAUCCAGAACUCACCUCACCUUUGGCAGUCAGGUCCCCUCUCCUCCACAAUCACCAAUCUGGGAGUUCGGUUUGACCCCCACCUGACCUUUACUGACCAGAUAAAAUUCCUGUGCAAAAACCUCCUUUUAUCAUCUAAAGAACAUCUCCAAACUCCGCCCCACUUUAACCCCGUCAGACGCAGAGAAGCUCGUCCACGCCUUCAUCUCCUCGAGACUGGACGACUGCAACUCUCUCUCCACCGGGACCACGACAAGAACAUCUCCAAACGACAAGACAUUCCACACAGGCUGCCAGGGUCCUGAGGGGAGGCCGGAGAUACCACAUAUCACCCAUCCUCCAAUCGCUGCACUGGCUCCGUUUCAUUCCGGAUUAACUACAAGGUCCUGGUACUCACAUCUCAGCAUCAACGGACAUGCCCCCCCCACCUCCAGGAACGUACCACUCCCCGACCCUCAGAUCCACGGGCCGCUCGCUCCUCUGGGUCCCGACACCAAGCUCCGCACCACGGCGACCGGGCCUUCUGCUCGGUCUCCCUGACCACCUGAGGGCGACUCACUCUGAACUCUUCUAAGACUGGCCUGAAAACCUUUUUAUUCAGGAAGGCUUUUUUUUAGGGCUGUCAAUCGAUUAAAAAAAAGUAACUAAUAAAUCGCACAUUUUGAAAUUCAUUAAUCGCGAUUAAUCGCGAUUAAUCGCAAUGAAAAGUUACAAGUUAAAAGUUCAUUCUUUUUAAAGACCAAACUUCACACAGAGCUGUGUUUUCAAAGAGGCUCCUACCUAUAAAGUGCCAGCGAGGUAUUUAAUAUUGUGGAUGAUAAAUUGUUUCUUCAGUGAAACAUCAGAUUAGUAAAAAAAAAAGAAGUAUAUUGAGACCCCAUUGGUCCUGUCAUCUUUAACACUGAACAGCAGAACCAGUGGCCUUGGGAACUGACUGACAUUCACAUAUGUCACAUUAACCCUCUGGAGCAGGGGUGCUCACACUUUUUCAGCAUGCGAGCUACUUAUUAUGUGACCAAGUCAAGGCGAUCGACCGACGGGGCGGGCACCGGGGAUUCUUUAGCUAAACGGCCCUAAACAGCUUCCCAUUCAUUCUCUAUGGCGGUGUCUAAAAUCGCCGAUGUAAUAUAUCUCUGGCCACUCGCAGCUCAGUGGCGCUGUUUUCAGAGUGAAGCUCCUCCCGCUCCUCCCCCUCCUCCGUCUCAUUCAGUCUGCUGUGAGAAGGACCGACUGCACAUACGGAUCUCUGGAGCUCCACCGUUACGUCAAGCAGAGAGAUGAGCAGACAUGUGUUUUACCCUGGGAGAAUGGCUGUUUCAUUCCUUCCGCUGGCUUCUGGAGAAUGACAUUUGAUACACCAUCUACCUCAUCAGGAACCAGCAAAGAGAGGAAGCUGCAGGAGUGUUCAUGGCAGCGGGGCACAACAAGGACAGCCUCCUGUCCUUUCUCAACUAUUCCCUCAUGUUUGGAGGAAUCCAGUCUCUCCUCAACUAUGAGAAACACAAGCCAGUUGUGACAGCAGCAGCAUCGGAGGAUGACCAGCUGGUGGGUUUUGGGACUCGUGCCUACAGCACCUGGCGAGAGGUCUGGGAGAGCAGGGAGGACGGCUAUGCAUCCUUCAUCCUGAAGAAGAAGAACUGCACUGCAGGCACAAAGAUGCAUAAGCUACAACUCUACCUGAAGAAGAAGCUGCAGCCACCCACUGUCUCCCCUCUGAUGUCACACGCCUCACCUGUGAUGUCACACGCCUCACCUGCUCCUGCUGAAGCCAUUGUGAUGGAUGAAGAUGAAGAGCUGGAGAGGAUGAUGCUGAGCAUCUCUCCUUCAAAGCAACAUGUGCAGAGCUCUGUUUCUGCAUCUUCGUCAUCCUCCUCAUCUGCCAGACGACGAGAAAGAGGUCUUUAACCCAGAGCACCGUGCCGCCGACCGACACAACUGGGACCAUGAAUUCUUAUCCCACAUGAAGCAUGACUCGUCUCGUGUCGACCGUGUUCUGGUCCUGUUUGUCUUUUGGUGUUCCACCUGUUGUCCUAGUGACUAUGAAUUGACGCCGGUCCUGAUGAGGGUACGUAUCCGUCUUUGUUUUCUGAUGUGCAUGAAGAGAACCUGCUGAGCUACUAACACCUGUUGGCAUGUGUUUGCUGUGUGUUUGAAGUCAAGGUGCUUCCCCUGCCUAGGUGACAUAGUGAUGACUGGCUCCUGAAUAUUAACCCAUUGCAACAUGAACACAUGUGUAUGAAUGAAAUAUACUCUGUACGUAAUCAUGUUACAAACAGUCUGAUUGAUUGGAUUUGGCUGAACAAAGCAGGUGAAGUAAAGAUACUUUCUGCCUUUACUAACAGCAGUUUUUGUGUACUGUCAAAGUAUAAAUAACAAACAAAGGUUUUUCCGUUGCAGCAGCGGCGUUCACCUCCCAGCCGUCUUUGAUCCUGCAUUGAUGGCCCAGCUCAACGCAGCCUCCGAACGGGUGUUGGGACAGAUGAAGUAUCCAGCAUUUCAUCUCUCGAGCACCGACACUGGAGAAAAGUUUGGCCUGCAGUACGUUGAGCCUGGUUGCCGCCCAGUUCCUGUGGACUGGGACAAGCACAGGACCAAGUCGGACUCUGCCCCCCCGGCCCUGAAUCCACCUCCUCAAAGCAGCGUGCCUACUGUCCAGUCAUCCUCACUCUUCAUGGCACCACAGAAGCUGUUCCAGUUUCCUCCACGCCCUCCUGUGGAUUCUGCUGCUGUCAAACCAGACGUGACUCCCGGGCCUCCGACAGAUCCAGAAACAUGUCGGCCGUCUCUGCCGCUGCUGUCCUCGCCGACUGCCGCUCGCACUGGACCUGUGAAGACAGGGGGGAGAGUGUUUGUGUUGGACCACAAGCGGUGGCCGGCCCCCAUGAAGGCAACUAUUGACAACCUGCUCAAUAAACACCGUGGCAUGAAGGACAUGCUCAAGCUAGUGGACCAGGACUAUGCUGCUCUAGUUCACAACUCUUGCACAGACCCAAACAACAUGCUCCACCCAACAACUAAACACCACAUCUUACUAUAUGUUAAACACCUCUGCAAAUUACUGAACACCAGCUCGUCUUUAAACACCAGCCCGAAAAACUGCAAGAGCGGCAGGAACUCUGGCACGCUCUGACAAAGGGCAGCGAGGCGACACGGGUGCCGGUUGUAACAAUGCCUGUUGCAGUCGUGAACCCACCUCCACCUAGUCAGACCCUCACUAAAGCCUCUAUUGAGCAAAUUGUGCAAAAUAUUAUUGAAAAGCAACAACAGCAUCAGCAGCAACAACAACAACCAGUGGCUUCAAAGAAGCAGACAAAAACGUGCCUUUCCUGUGGUCAGCCAAAGUCCAGGAACACAGUUCUUUCAGCAGGAACUGUCUGCCACAAAGAAAAGGGUGGAGGAGAGAGGCCAGCAGAAGAGGAAGAGAACUGAAUCCCAGCACAGAACCCCAGAACACUGGUCCAAGGUGUCGCUUUUGUGGGAUGGGACUGAAGCAGGGCCCAAACAGCCCUCACAUUCACACCGGGUUCCCGGGGGUAGCAGGGAAGUACAUUUAUUGUCCUGCCAAAGUAUUUUCCCUGUACAGAGACCAGGGCAUGGAGAAGGAGAUGACGUGGAGAGAGUUCAAGGCAUCUGCCUUCUAUGAGACGGGAAAAACAGAUGGGCCGUUGACAAGAGCAAAUAAGAGAGAUGGGCAGUGUUUUGUCAUGUAUAUAUCUUUUCUUAUUUUAAUAAUUACAUUCUUUUAUGAUAUAAAUUAUAUUUGUUUUACUAUUUUUAUUGUUUUUAUUGUUUGUGUGACCUUGCACUAUGGCCUGUGUGUUCAAUAUUUACUGUCCUUGUUGUGAAUAAAUAUAUUUCAUGGA